CGAGACCUCAGGUCAGGCGGGGUUACCCC
rnacentral:rRNA from 1 species